rnacentral:lncRNA from 1 species
AGAGUAAGUUCUUGCUUAAGUCCGAGUCUACUCCCCGCUCCCUCCCCUCCCCCGCGGCCCCCCCCCCAGUUCUUUUUUGCCAAAAAUGUCCAGCAAGCAAAUGAAAGGUUGUCCUACGCUAAGCGGUGUUUUCCAACCCAGUAGUUUUCUCUCUUGUUUUUGUUGUAAGAUCAAAGUAUAUUUGCCGUCUCUCUCGUGGGUGGGGAGAAGCAGGGGUCAAGGACUAACAUCUGGAGGAAUGUUUGGAAUUGUUGGUUUUUAACAGGACGGAUGGUUCAAGCCCCGUCCUUCCGUAUCUCCUUUUAUCGGAAUCCUCUUGUUCCUUUGAACAAUGGGCCUCUCAGCUCCCUUCUACCGAAGAUCUCUCCCUGUCGGGAGAUGUUCAUUCGACAAGAACUUAGCCUCUGAAUGUUCCUCAGAAGCGUGUUGGGGAAAAUUGCAGGUUCUCGAGAAGGUGUGAGUCCAGAUGUAGUGAGGCAGUAAGGAGAGGGGGCUUCUGGGGAUUCAGGAAAGGGUUCAGAGAGAAGGGGCUGGAACCCACCCUUGGAGAGUGAAUACGUGUUCCUGGGGCACUGGAAGUAAAGCAGAGAAGCCCCGAGGAGGAGGAGGAGUAUGAACCGGGGUCCAGAACACACUCAAGGGACAGCCCUAGGCUGCCUGCAAGGUGACACUGAAUGUCGUGUCCUUCCAGCCUCUUGAUUUCGCCCUCCGUGCCCUGUCCCCCAGGCCAGCAGCCUCUCCUAUUCCACAUGCCCAGCCAAGAAGGAGGUGUGUAGGCAGGAGCUGUGGGGCAGGUGAUCUAAUCACCGCAGGGGUUCGCCGAUCUGGGAGGUUAGAGCUGUGUUAAAACGCUUAGCAUCUAGUGCUGUGAUAUUUUGACUGAAAACACGUCACGACCACAAUUAAUGUGGAAGGUUUUGCUGUUUGUAAAAACACUGGUCUAUGUUUUGAUCUUCCCCAGGUUUUUAAACUCUGAUUCUAGGUUCGAGAGGAAAUGGGAUUACAAGGUUGGGAUAAAACUGAGCAAAGAAAAAAGUAAUACUCAGAAAACAAUCAAAAGUAGAGAAACAGGUACUUGUUCUUAUAAAUAUGACUGCAAGUUGGGUAAGUCUCUUUGGAGGACAGUUUGGCCAUUGGGGAUAAAAAUAAUAUUUGUGGGGGUUUUUUGACCAGGCAAUGCCACAUCUGGGAUUUUAUGCUUUCUUUUUCUUUUUCUUUUUGUUGGCUGCACUCAGGGCAUGUAGAACGUCCUGGGCCAGGGGAUCGAACCCCGCACCGCAGCUGUGACCCAAGCUACUGCAGUGACAAUGCUGGAUCCUUAACCCAUUGUGCCACAAGGGAGCUCCAGGCAUUUUUACUUUGUACAUAUGGGUGCAAAAAGUAUGUAUUUCAGAAAUAUUUACACGAUGUAUAAAAAUACAUGCACAGGUAUGUUUAUUGCAGCAUUGUUUGCAGUAGAGGAAACCUAUAGUUGUGUAAAGGCCUCAUAACAAUAUCCCGCUAGGGAAUGGUUAAGCAAAUUUCACUUAUUUUAUAAAAAUAAGAGACCUAUUGGUACUAACACAGAAGAAUGUCCAAGAUUUAUAAGUGAAAAAGGCAAGUUGUGAAACAAAAUGAAUCAUAUGAUCCCAUUUUUAUUUGUAUAUUUUGUCAAGAAGAUGUGUGCUGAAGCAUAUAUAACAAGCAGUUAACUGUGGUUAUCUCUGGAUGUGGGAUUAUUAGGGCAGUUUACUUCCUGCCACAAAUUUCUGUAUGUUUGGAUUGUUUUACCUAUUACUUUGGUAGUAAGAAACAUAAUAAAAAGAAUUUAAGAUAAAAUUAAUAAGGGGGGAAGGGGUGGGAUGGACUGGGAGUUUGGGGUUGGCAGAUGCAAACUAUUACACUGAGAAUGGGUAAGCAAUGAGGUCCUGCUGAACAGCGCAGGGACCUGUAGCCCGUCUCUUAGGACAGACCAUGAUGGAGGAUAAUAUAAGAAAAAAAAUGUAUAUAUAUAUGCGUUGUGCCUGGGUCCCUUUGCUGUGCAGCAGAAAUUGGCACAGCUUUGUCAACCAACUAUACUUUCAUUUUAAAAAAUGUUAAAAAUAAAAUUAAUAAGAGCUCUAACAGUGACAAGGAAGGAAGAUCCCUCUGAGGCUCCAGGAUGCAAAAAGGGUCCGCUCGCCGUUUUCCCCAAGGAAAACAAGCAGGAAGGAGGCAGCAAAGGACAAUGACCGACUGGACGCUGGAUUCAAAAUGAGGAAAUAGGACAGGCGAAGCAUCCAGGGCUGCUCUAGGCGUGUCCACGGGGAUGGGGCGGGGGACACAGUCAGACGUCAAGGAAGUUGUAGCCAGCAGACACUUACGGGCACUUGGUGUUCUUUGCAGAGUUAUGGUCACACAUCAGCAGCUGUUCUGGCAAAUCUCUCACAACACCAGUAAUGACAGGAGCUAUAACACUGUGCUUGUGAUGGGCCGGGCCCUGCUCCAAGGCCCCUAACCUGUGUUCACUCUAGUCCUCAAAGCAACCCUAGGAGGAAAGUAUGAUUCCUGUCCUCAUACUUUAGGCAGGAAACGGAGGCCAGGGGAGAUUUUAAGCAAAGCAGGGUCGUGCAGCCUUUAAGCGGCAGACCCAGGCAUUUAAGCCCAGCAGCCUGGCUCCAGAGGUCCAGACCCCCGCAAUGCUGUGUCUAAAAGAGCCAGGUAGGAUAAAGGUCUUCGUGGUGCAUCUCUUUGCUCCAAGCAUUGUAAUUCUACGUUGAUUUGUGUUUACCUAAACUGCGGCCCUCCCUGCGCCCUCGGUAAUUCUGAAUGAGUGCGUGCGUGAAUAAUCUACGUUCCUACAGAGAGAGGGAUCUGAGCUUCCUGGUGGAGGGAUCGUUCGUGGGUCCUUUGCGGUCAGCUGCUGUGUGCCCCACAUGUGCUAACAACGUGAAUUUCAGUCAUCUGCAAGCAUGUUUUUGAACAGUUGUGCGGAAGUCAAACUUGAUCAAUUGAUUCCCAAAUACACCAGGGCGGCUUAUGAGUAAAUGAGGAUGAACUCCUGGCAGAGUGGAGAGUAGCCCGGGUAACAGAGCUAAACCUGGAGACACCUGCAUAACCACAUGCAAGUGCACAUGGAAUCUAUUUGCUUGCAAAGUGGCCGCCGAGGAGCUGCAGGAUUUCCAGUUAUUUGAGCCCUUCUCUUUCUUUCCCUCUCUCUUGGUUUCUGAAAUGCGGACAAAAGCACGUAUCUCUCCAGAUAUUGUGUGGCCAAGGAUUCAAUCGCCUAUGGAAAGAGCUGAGCCAAUUGCCUAGGAGGUAGGUAUCACUCAGUAACUGUUACCUACUAUCAGUGGGUCUGCAGAUUCUAAGUGUAAGCAGAUUUCUUUGUCUCUGGUGACUAUAAACACGACACCUGACACAGUCUGCAACACCUGGGCGCUCCUACACAUCUAAGGCUUGGAGAUGACACAGCUGGGGCUCAGCCCCCCACCCUGGCUACGAAAAGCCGCAGGCAAAGCCGAGUCUUAUCUUGUUUCUCCUGUGCUAGCUCCCACCUCCCUCUUCUUCCUCUUUCCUUGGGUUGGUUAAAGCCAUCGCGUGUCUUGGACCUAUUUAAACUCUUGGCCUUGGAGGCAGGAAGAAAACGGUCUCCCUUCUUCACAGCUGAGGAAACUGAAGUGCUGGAAACGAGACCAGAAACCCACAGAGCGGAGGGUGGAGAACAGGGGGCAGAAUGAGAACUAGGGUGGGGGCACUCGCCACAAGUCCCGAUGUAACAUGAGGUCCAAACGGGAGGGGAAGUGGCCAGAUGGCUAUGGUGAGAAGUCAUGUGGUGAAACAGAAACUAGAGGAACGAAGGGGAUGUGUCUUUGUCAACCACCAUGAGGAGAAAGAACAGGACUUGUAUCUUCUAGAAUGGACUCAGAGAAAGACCCGAUUAGAGUGGCCUAGCUGGUAAAGCCAGGCCUUCUUUUUCUUUUUUCUUUCAUUGUUCUCCCCGCCC